rnacentral:rRNA from 1 species
UACGGGGGGAGCAAGCGUUGUUCGGAUUUACUGGGCGUAAAGGGCGCGUAGGCGGCCACGACAAGUCACUUGUGAAAUCUCCGGGCUUAACCCGGAACGGUCAAGUGAUACUGUCGGGCUAGAGUGCAGAAGGGGCAACUGGAAUUCUCGGUGUAGCGGUGAAAUGCGUAGAUAUGUGGAGGAACACCGAUGGCGAAGGCAG